rnacentral:rRNA from 1 species
AGAGUUUGAUCAUGGCUCAGAUUGAACGCUGGCGGAAUGCUUUACACAUGCAAGUCGAACGGCAGCACGGGUGCUUGCACCUGGUGGCGAGUGGCGAACGGGUGAGUAAUGCGUCGGAACGUACCGAGUAAUGGGGGAUAACGCGGCGAAAGUCGCGCUAAUACCGCAUACGCCCUGAGGGGGAAAGUGGGGGAUCGCAAGACCUCACGUUAUUCGAGCGGCCGACGUCUGAUUAGCUAGUUGGUGGGGUAAAGGCCUACCAAGGCGACGAUCAGUAGCGGGUCUGAGAGGAUGAUCCGUCACACUGGGACUGAGACACGGCCCAGACUCCUACGGGAGGCAGCAGUGGGGAAUUUUGGACAAUGGGGGCAACCCUGAUCCAGCCAUUCCGCGUGAGUGAAGAAGGCCUUCGGGUUGUAAAGCUCUUUCAGCUGGAACGAAACGGUACGCUCUAACAUAGCGUGCUAAUGACGGUACCGGCAGAAGAAGCACCGGCUAACUACGUGCCAGCAGCCGCGGUAAUACGUAGGGUGCGAGCGUUAAUCGGAAUUACUGGGCGUAAAGCGUGCGCAGGCGGAUUGUUAAGCAAGACGUGAAAGCCCCGGGCUUAACCUGGGAAUGGCGUUUUGAACUGGCAGUCUAGAGUGCGUCAGAGGGGGGUGGAAUUCCACGUGUAGCAGUGAAAUGCGUAGAGAUGUGGAGGAACACCAAUGGCGAAGGCAGCCCCCUGGGAUGACACUGACGCUCAUGUACGAAAGCGUGGGUAGCAAACAGGAUUAGAUACCCUGGUAGUCCACGCCCUAAACGAUGUCAACUGGUUGUUGGGGGAGUGAAAUCCCUUAGUAACGAAGCUAACGCGUGAAGUUGACCGCCUGGGGAGUACGGUCGCAAGAUUAAAACUCAAA